GGAUUGUGGCUCAGUGGCAGAGCACUUGCCUUGCACGUAUGCGGCACUGUGUUCGAUCCUCAGCACCA
rnacentral:tRNA from 1 species